GGGAUGGUCAAUAAUAAUGAGAAGGCAAAAGAUGUCCAUAUGGAUAUUAGCUAUUUAUUUUGUGACAAGUUUGGACAUUGGGAGUAUGAUUGCAAGAAUAAUCUUGUAAAUUUGAAGUAGGAUGCAAGUAUAGCACCAAAAGGUGUGUAUAUGAUACAAACUUAUUUUUUUAUUGAGUAGCUCAGACUCUGAUACUUGGGUAUUAG
rnacentral:lncRNA from 1 species